rnacentral:lncRNA from 1 species
GUGGCCCCGGCGGAGCGCGCGCGCAGGCUGGGCAUCCUCUGGGGCGCGGGCGAUCGCUGCAGUGUUGCCUACCUUUCAAGAUGCCUUUGUUCUUCUGACAAAUACAGCCAGUAACUCAUAAGGCCAUAAAAGAGGGAAAAUCGGAGGGGAAACCACUGGUGCCCAAAGAACAAGAUCGCCCUUAACAGAGGGAA